GGGCGGGAGGAAGGGGCUACGGAUGGGAACUGGAACUUGGGCACGGUCAGCAGGAAACAACAUUUUGGAACGUUCAGCUAUAAACAUGUUACGUAGAACUAACAUGCCUCUCGAUACAUAGAAUAAGGAAUCAUGUCAGCUCUAUUCAUGGCAUUUCUAUCUGCAAUAUUCAGCAACAUUUGGCAACUGAACCCAACCCUGGGUAUGGUGAGAGGAUUGAGCUGAUCGGUCGAAAGCUACUACUUUUACUUUUCCCACAGACCCUAUUGGACACUGUGGGUGACCAGGAAGAGGACAGAGACAACGCCAAGAUGCUGGUCCAGUCAGAGGAGUCCCUGGGCGACCAUGUGACAGGGGGUGUGGUCCAGGGAUGGAAGUGUGUGCAGAGGAGACUAGGGGACCUCCUGAGUCAGGGUCACGUGGCUGUGGGGACUGACCAGGAUAAGCUCUUGGCCCAGCUAGAGACAGAGUUGGAUCAGAGUCAACAGCUGGUCAAACUGCAGCCGCAUCUACUACAGGUGGACUACACCCGCUACAAUGUUGCAGCUAGUUACAAAAAAACUGACAUGCUACAGUGUUACGGCUAGUUACUAAAGAAACCGACACGCGCUACAAUGUUACGGCUAGUUACUAAAGAAACCGACACGCGCUACAAUGUUACGGCUAGUUACUAAAGAAACCGACACGCGCUACAAUGUUACGGCUAGUUACUAAAGAAACCGACACGCUACAAUGUUACGGCUAGUUACUAAAGAAACCGACACGCGCUACAAUGUUACGGCUAGUUACUAAAGAAACCGACACGCGCUACAAUGUUACGGCUAGUUACUAAAGAAACCGACACGCGCUACAAUGUUACGGCUAGUUACUAAAGACUAAAGAAAUCGACACGCUACAAUGUUAUGGCUCGUUACUAAAGAAACCGACACGCUACAAUGUUACGGCUAGUUACUAAAGAAACCGACACGCGCUACAAUGUUACGGCUAGUUACUAAAGAAACCGACACGCGCUACAAUGUUACGGCUAGUUACUAAAGAAACCGACACGCGCUACAAUGUUACGGCUAGUUACUAAAGAAACCGACACGCGCUACAAUGUUACGGCUAGUUACUAAAGAAACCGACACGCGCUACAAUGUUACGGCUAGUUACUAAAGAAACCGACACGCGCUACAAUGUUACGGCUCGUUACUAAAGAAACCGACACGCGCUACAAUGUUACGGCUAGUUACUAAAGAAACCGACACGCGCUACAAUGUUACGGCUAGUUACUAAAGAAACCGACACGCGCUACAAUGUUACGGCUAGUUACUAAAGACUAAAGAAAUCGACACGCUACGCCUCGUUACUAAAGAAACCGAGACGCUACGCCUCGUUACUAAAGAAACCGAGACGCUACGCCUCGUUACUAAAGAAACCGAGACGCUACGGCUCGUUACUAAAGAAACCGAGACGCUACGGCUCGUUACUAAAGAAACCGAGACGCUACGGCUCGUUACUAAAGAAACCGAGACGCUACGGCUCGUUACUAAAGAAACCGAGACGCUACGGCUCGUUACUAAAGAAACCGAGACGCUACGGCUCGUUACUAAAGAAACCGAGACGCUACGGCUCGUUACUAAAGAAACUGACCCGACACACACUGGGGUUCAUAGAAACACACAGAUAUGUGACCAGCUGGGUUCAAACCCAUGAAACGGAGGAAUGUUAAUCCGCUGAGCUAGUCUAGUCACUAAUAUGGCAGAUAAUGCAAGCUUUGAAAUUUCAGACAAAGUUACUUAGUCAUCUUUCUCUCUGGUUCUCCAUGUCAUCCCCCUUCUCCAUGUCAUCCACAUCUCUCCCCAUGCCUCUCUUUCUCCUCUCCUCCUUCUCCUCUCCUCCAUCUCUACCUACCUUCCCUCACCAUCUCCCCCUCCCAGCCGCUCUGACAGACUGCUACUUCCUGGAAGAGUGGGAGCGGCUUCAGAGCGGCUUCAGAGCAUCUGGGCGGAGCUAGAACACCAGAAGCGGAGCUUCCAUAGGGAGAGACGGGCCUUCACCGAUGCCGCCAUCCGAUUGGGCCACGAGGUGAGGGGCGGGAGAGACAGGGAGGGAGUGGAAACGGUCUCCUUGGAUUGAAAGAAAGAUUAGAGGGAUGGGGGAUACAAAGUCAGUUGUACAACUGAAUGCAGUCACUUAAAAUGUGUCUUCUGCAUUUAACCCAACCCCUCUUAGUGUUUGACUGUGGUUAUUUUAUUAUGUACUUAGUGUCUCAAAUCAAUUCAAAGUUUUAUUGGUCACAUACACAUGGUUAGCAGAUGUUGGAUGUUAUUGCGAGUGAAGCGAAAUGCUUGUAAUACAUACAAUAAAUACUGCAAAGUGUCUGCCUGCGUGUGUGUAGAGGCGUGAGUUUGAGCAGCAGAGGGCCUGUGUGGUGAAGCAGCAGUAUCUGUUUGACUCUCCGUUUGGGGAAAACGUUGCAGCGUCACAACAGGAGAGAGAGCACCAUCCUCAGUGAGUCAGCAAAAAUCUUGCUCUAUACAUCUACUGUAUAUACAUACAUGACCAAAAGUAUGUGGACACCUGUUGGUCGAACAUCUCCUUCCAAAAUAAUGGUGAUUAAUAUGGAGUUGGUCCCCCUUUUACUGCUGUAACAGCCUCCACUCUUCUGGGAAGGCUUUCCACUAGGCGUUGGAACAUUGCUGCAGGGACUUGCUUCCAUUCAGCCACAAGAGCAUUAGUGAGUUUGGACUCUGUUGGGCAAUUAGGCCUGGCUCACAGUCUGCGUUACUAUUCUUCCGAAAGGUGUUCGAUGGGGUUGAGGUCAGGGCUCUGUGCAGGACAGUCAAGUUCUUCCACGCCGAUCUCGGCAAACCAUUUCUGUAUGGACCUUGCUUUGUGCACAGGGAAAUUGUCAUGCUGAAACAGGAAAGAGCCUUCCCCAAACUGUUGCCACAAAGUUGGAAGCACAGAAUCGUCUAGAAUGUCAUUGUAUGCUGUAGCGUUAAGAUUUCUCUUCACUGGAACUAAGGUGCCUAGCCCGAACCAUGAAAAACAGCCCCAGAACAUUAUUCCUCCACCACUAAACUCUACAGUUGGCCCUAUACAUUGGGGCUGGUAGCGUUCUCCUGGCAUCCUCCAAACCCAGAUUCGUCCGUCGGACUGCCAGAUGGUGAAGCGUGAUUCAUCACUCUAGAGAACGCGUUUCCACUGCUCCAGAGUCUAAUGGCAGUGAGCUUUACACCACUCCAGCCGAUGCUUGGCAUUGUAUAUGGUGAUCCUAAGCUUGUGUGUUGCUGCUCAGCCAUGGAAAUCCAUUUCAUGAAGCUCCCGACGAACAGUUAUUGUGCUGAUGUUGCUUCUAGAGGCAGUUUGGAACUCGUUAGUGAGUGUUGCCACCGAGGACAGACUAUUUUUACUCGCUACGUGCCUCAGCACUAGGUGGUCCGGUUCUGUGAGCUUGUGUGGCCUACCACUUUGCGGCUGAGCCGUUGUUGCUCCUAGAUGUUUCCACUUCACAAUAACGGCACUUACAGUUGACAGGAGCAGCUCUAGCAGGGCAGAAAUUUGAUGAACUGACUUGUUGGAAAGGUGGCAUCCUAUGACUAUGCCAUGUUGAAAGUCAGUUAGGCCAUUCUACUGCCAAUGUUUGUCUAUGAAGAUUGCAUGGCUGUGUGCUCGAUUUUUAUACACCUGUCAGCAACGGACAUGUCUGAAAAAACCGAAGCCACUAAUUUGAAGGGGUGUCCACAUACUUUUGUCAUGUAGUGUAUAUUGGGGAUUCCCGAGUGGCGCAGCGAUCUAAGGCACUGCAUCUCAGUGCUUGAUGCGUCGCUACAGACACCCUGGUUUGAUUCCAGGCUGUAUCACAACUAGCCAUGAUUGGGAGUCCCAUAGGACGACGCACAAUUGGCCCAGCGUCGUCUGAGUUUGGCUGGGGUAGGCCGUCAUUGUAAAUAAGAAUUUGUUCUUAUCUGACUUGCCUAGUUAAAUUUAAAAUGUAGGCCAUAUAGCACAAACCCCUGAGGUGCCUUAUUGCUAUUAUAAACUGGUUACCAACGUAAUUAGAGCAGUAAAUUGUACUUAUUUUUUGUCAUACCCGUGGUAUAUGGUCUGAUAUACCAUGGCUUUCAGCCAAUCAGUAUUUAGGCUCCAACUACCCCGUUUAUAAUCAACAAUGACCACUACAUACUGCUAGAUAUUUGCAAAAGCUUUACUAGUUUGGGUUCAGCUAUAGUUAUUGCUUUACUAACAGGUUUGUCUAUAGCAUCGUCUUUUAGUCACUUCAGGGGAUUCGUGUGUGUACGCUCGCAGAUCUCUCAGAUUCUGAUCACAUGAUCCUGUCCGGCUGCCGCCAGGCCACGCCCUCCUCUGGGAUCAUGCCCUGGUUAGGGUCAUCGGGGUCUCUGCAGGUUCAUGGCAGGGUCAAAGUUUGCACCCCAGAGCUCUACUCUGCCCUCCAACUGCAGGUCAGGCCCAGACAUGUCCUUGCUCUGUUCCAAAUGGCCCCCUAUUCCCUAUUUGGUGCUCUGUUAUUGACCAGGGCCUGGUCAGAAGUAGGCCACUAUAUAUGGAAUGGGGUGUCAUUUAAGAUGUGGACCUAGUUACUAAACUGUUCAAUCCAUCCAGUCUUUGUACUCUUUCUUCAAUAAGAUUGAUUUUAAACAUCUUUUAUUAAUCAUCCCCAAAGGGAAAAUCAUUAUUAGUGAUUGAGGUAAUCACAGAUAGUAUAUGAUUACAGAUGGAUUUUUGUUGUCGAUCACACAAACACACACCAAUCUAUCUAAAUUCCGCCAUUACCCCGCCCCCUCCCGUCAACCUCCAUUCCCUCCAACUCCGCAGGUCCAGUGAGAGUGAUGCUCAGUCAGAGUGCUGGGAUGUGCUGGCAGAGAGGCUCCAGUUCGCCGCCACUGGUACUCGCCUGGACUGGUCAUUUCAGUAGGAUGGCUGUUUCUGUCGUUUCCAUUGUAUGUUUGUAUAAUAUUGUCUGUUUCAGUUGUUCCUUUGUUUCUAUUGUGUUUGAUGAAAUCGUUUUUCAAUGUGAUUAAUAAAGAUUAAUUGUUUGACACGUUCCU
rnacentral:lncRNA from 8 species